CAUUUUAAACCUUCAGACUUUCUAAAGAACCCUUUAAUGGUGUUUCGAUGAGUUCCUUUGAUUUUUUUUUUUCUUUUUACUAGGUGAAAAAGUAAGAAAUUGAGGUGAAUUAAAAAUGUAACUGAUUGUUUUUUCCUGUAGUGAUAGUGGCGGCAGUAAUGUCGAUGAUGGUAGGAAGAUGGUAGAAAAAAGAAUGAAGAAGAAGAAGAAGAGAAGGAAAUUAAAAAAAAAAGAAAAAAAAAGAAGAUUUUUGGCCUUUCCACGGUCCUGCUUGGUUUGAAAUCCACACAACUUUUUAAGUCAGCGAAAAGUGUUUAAAUGAGACAGUAAGGGUCCACCUCAGGUGUCUAAAUGAAACAAGGUGUAGUUGAGGUGUCUAAGUGAAAGAUCUUGACGACCGUAAGGGGCCACCGAUGGGUUUGGCCUUUUCUUUUUAUACAUACCUUGAAUUCCUCUCUUCAUUCUCUGAAAUAUAUCUUGCCUUUCAACUAAUUUCUUGUCUUCCAAAAUUCUUAAUUGCCAUUAUAAAAAAUAUGUCCAGAACCAGACUUUCAUCCAGUUUUGUUCCAUCUUCAUCAUCUGCCUCUUUGCUACAGUCCGCGAGCGAUGGCUCUACCAGCGUUAACCCCGGGCUCUAUCAAGGAAAAAUCUUAUUCGUACAUCCCUAGUUUAUUCAACUUCAAUGACAAAAUUACUCCUAAAAAGGUGAAUACUCAAAGUGACAGACGUGAGAUGGCCAAAAACUAUCCUUCCUCCAUCACUGCUGCCAUUCUUAAAACAGUUCGAGAAGACUGCAACUGGAGAACUCUCUCCACAAUCAUUAUUCUUGACCCAGAUAACGAUGUCACCAAAAUUAGGCCAAGCUUUUCCAAUGUAUACACAUACUCGUUACAUUUGGCCAGGUACCUAAGAAUUGAUCCGGUGAUCAUAGAAACGUGCAAAUGCUACCCAAAUUGGCCGUCUGUUGGAGGGCAAUAGCUUGCAUCCGAUUCUUAACAAAUAAAGCAAAAUGACCCUUUACCCUGGAUGACUUCAUGAGGGUUUAUACCACCAGAACAUUUUGGGGUGGAAUUAUCACUGUAUUAAAGCAUGGGAAAUCUUAUCUUAUCACCAGCCUGGAUGAUGAUAAUGAUCGUGGCUAGAUGGAAAGGUUUGUUGCCGUUCCUAUGGCAAAAAUUGUUGAAGAAGAAGACAUACCCAUACCAGAAGUAUGGAACCCAACACGUAAGUACUUACCUUUUUAAACUCCCAUUUCAACUUUGCACUUACUUAUUCUUUUUCAUGCUUGCAAAGCUAACAAAAUCAAGCCUCCCACCGAUUUGCACUUCCCUGAGUAGGUGAAGAGCUUCUUGACGUUUCAUGUCAUGAGUCCCGAAGGUGGAAAGAGAUUUCUCGUGACCUGUGGAAACCCAAAAGUCACAGUAAUUCUAUAUACUCUCAAGAUUUUUUGCUUAAGUGCCUUUAAACUCCUUUUCUCCUUCGAAUGCAAUCUCUUGUCUUUUAAAUAUACCUCCUUCUGGUUUGGCCAAAAGGACCGUCUGACCUCGUGUUGUCUUGAUGGACAUCACUUUGGACCCAGCAGCUUCUGCCCAGUAAAUUGCCAGAAUACUGUGGUAGUAGGUUCGGCCUCCGUUAAGAUGACAAAGAAGAAAAAAAACCCUUUGAGUCUUCAAAGAAACCUAUAAUCGAUGCUUCCAUUCUGACCUCCUCCAUUCCUCUUAAAAGAAAGAGGAAUUCAAGGGAGGGGACUUCUUCAGGAACCAAUGCUACCCUCAAAACCAGAAAUAUAUCGACCUUGACAAUUCCCUCCGUUUCUGACACUGUAAUUGUUGAUGACAACGAGGAAACUGAAGAUGAUAACAUAGUGGCCAAGACGGUCAGGUUAGGACCUACACCGGAGACUCAUCUUGCUAGUCCAGUGCUCCUCCCACACUUUGAUGGAGAAAACCUUGAUCAUCUCUUUUUCGAAGCUGAUACUUUUAUUGGUGGGAACCCUUUUGCCAGAAGUCCCCAGGUUGAGUCUUCGAGGUCUUUAGAACCGAGCAUCCCAGCAAGGCUUUUAUCUCCCAGGGCUGCUGCUCACGCACUAAGGGAUCAUGGCUCUUCUCGGUCUCGAUUGGUUGACAUUUUUCCCUUCCGAGUGUCAAUUCGGACCAAGUUAAAACUGUCACCACUACAGUUCCUGAGGAUACAGAUCUUCUUUCAAGGCCCGUUGGUGUGGCUAACUAUCUGAAAUCUUUGGUCUCGAAGUCGGACGAGGAAAAAAUGGAUGGUGUUUCAUGGAGUUUUUUUUAUUGAGGCAUGCAUGCUUCCUCCCAGGCCGAGAUCCUUAUUUGUGAAGGUUUGAAACGCUGUAUUGAAGACUUUGACAGGUUGACUACUAACCUGGAAGACCAAAAUCGUGAAAUUGAAUUCUACAAGUCUGUGCUCAGUAGAAGAGAUUCUUAGCUGACCGGUGACAUUCUCGGCCUUAAAUCUGAUCUUGAACAGGCGAAAGAAUCCCUCCAGAAAGCCAACCAAGACCUUGAGCAUAUGAAGGAAGAAAAAGAAGCCUUCAGCCAGUAGGCCAAUAGGAUCCAAGAACAUAUCGCGAAGCUUCAAUUUGAAUUUGACACUCAAGACAAGGCUUUACAUCGCAGUGUUCAGAAUGAAUCCUUCUUAGAUGCUGAGGUUCGGAGACUAAAUGCUGAGCUUUCCACUGUUGAUGAUGAAAGGAAUGCAAUACAAGAGCAUAGCCAUCAACUUUCUUUAUGGAAAGAUAAAAGCCAUUAGCAAUCUCUAGAGAUUCGAAGGCUGCGAGCUGAACGGAUGAACAGGUCAAACAUAUCAAUGUUCUCCAAGCCAAACAUGAUGAGGCUUUGCUGUAACGGGAUGAAGCUCGUGCUACUAUUAAAGCUCAAGAGUCCCGGGUCAUUCUUCAUGCUGAGUAUACCACUUGGCAAGUCCGAAGGUAUACUCUUGAACAAGUCAAGUAACGAGUUAAUAACCUUAAGGAAAGAAAUAAAGAAGCCCGUAGACUCGAACUAAUAGCUUCUAUAGCAUUACUUCCAGCUCUUUACCUUAACUCGGAUGAUUCUGAUGGCGAAGGAGCCCGAAGUGAUGAUGAAGGUGCGGAGACCGAAGAGGAUGACCCCUCAAGCCCGACUCUUUCUCCACCACCGACCAACUUUGUUACCUCCGACACAAGUAACCGUGAUGAGAGGAGUGUAUCCCAAUAAAUUUAAACAUGUUUUUCAUAAUCUUUUGGUUUGGCCUGAACGACCUUUUAAGACAAUGGUGUUUGGGUUUGGCCUGAUCGGCCUUUUUAAGAUAUUUUUAUUUUGUUUUUAUCAAGCCUUGAUCCUUUAUGACGGUGCUUGAUGUUGAUUUAAAUUUUGCUGAAUUGUUAAGGAAUUUUAAAUUCAACCUUUAGUUUGCAAUU